rnacentral:misc_RNA from 1 species
AACUUUUAGCAAUGGAUCACUUGGCUCUCGCAUCGAUGAAGAACGCAGCGAAAUGCGAUACGUAAUGUGAAUUGCAGAAUUCAGUGAAUCAGCGAAUCUUUGAACGCACCUUGCGCCCCUUGGUAUUCCGAGGGGUGCACCCGUUUGAGUGUCGUGAACACCCUCAACCUUCUUGGUCUAUCGACCGGGACGGACUGGAAUUUGGAGGGUUUGCUUGCUGGCCUCGUUUCAAGCCAGCUCCUCCUAAAUGACUUAGUGGGGUCCGCCGUGCCGACCCUCGACCUGAUAAGUACGCUUCUACGUCUUGGGGUUUCGCACCGUUCUCGCUUCCAACUUCGAGUAGUGACUCGACCUUAUAAACCUUGACCUCAAAUCGGGUGAGACUACCCGCUGAUCUUAAGCAUAUCAAUAAGCGGAGGCU